GACGAACGCUGGCGGCGUGCUUAACACAUGCAAGUCGAACGGAAAAGCCCUGCUUUUGUGGGGUGCUCGAGUGGCGAACGGGUGAGUAACACGUGAGUAACCUGCCCUUGACUUUGGGAUAACUUCAGGAAACUGGGGCUAAUACCGGAUAGGAGCUCCUGCUGCAUGGUGGGGGUUGGAAGGUUUCGGCGGUUGGGGAUGGACUCGCGGCUUAUCAGCUUGUUGGUGGGGUAGUGGCUUACCAAGGCUUUGACGGGUAGCCGGCCUGAGAGGGUGACCGGCCACAUUGGGACUGAGAUACGGCCCAGACUCCUACGGGAGGCAGCAGUGGGGAAUAUUGCACAAUGGGCGGAAGCCUAAUGCAGCAACGCCGCGUGCGGGAUGACGGCCUUCGGGUUGUAAACCGCUUUCGCCUGUGACGAAGCGUGAGUGACGGUAAUGGGUAAAGAAGCACCGGCUAACUACGUG
rnacentral:rRNA from 1 species